rnacentral:lncRNA from 1 species
CAUCAGCAGCCAGGAUCCCAGCUGCAGCCUUCAGCUUGGUGACCAAAGACGGGCAGCCUGUUCGCUACGACAUGGAGGUGCCAGACUCGGGCAUCGACCUGCAGUGCACACUGGCCCCUGAUGGCAGCUUCGCCUGGAGCUGGAGGGUCAAGCAUGGCCAGCUGGAGAAUAGGCCCUAACCCUGCCCUCCACCGCCGGCUCCACACUGCCGGAAGCAGCCUUCCUGCUCGGUGCACGAUGCUGCCCUGAAACACAGGCUCAGCCGCUCCCAGGGAUCUGCCAGCCCCCGGCUCAGCAGUGGGACCAGGGCCUGGCAGCAGCAAGGUGGGGGCAAGCAGAAUGCCUCCCAGGAUUUCACACCUGAGUCCUGCCCCACCCUGCUGAGAAAACACUCCGCCACAUGAAGAGACAGAGGAGGACGGCAGGAGUUACCUCGGGAAACAAACAAGAUCUUCUCUGCCCUGCUCCAGUCGAGUUGGCCUGACCCGCUUGGAUCAGUGACCAUUUGCUGGCAGACAGGGGAGAGCAGUUUCCAGCCUGGGUCAGAAGGGGUGGGCGAGCCCCUCGGCCCCUCACCCUCCAGGCUGGUGUGAGAGUGUCAAGUGUGUAAGGGCCCACACUCAGGUUCAGUGCAGAACCAGGUCAGCAGGUAUGCCCGCCCGUAGGUUAAGGGGGCCCUCUAAACCCCUUGCCUGGCCUCACCUGGCCAGCUCACCCCUUUUGGGUGUAGGGGAAAAGAAUGCCUGACCCUGGGAAGGCUCCCUGGUAGAAUACACCACACUUUUCAGGUUGUUGCAACACAGGUCCUGAGUUGACCUCUGGUUCAGCCAAGGACCAAAGAAGGUGUGUAAGUGAAGUGGUUCUCAGUCCCCAGACAUGUGCCCCUUUGCUGCUGGCUACCACUCUUCCCCAGAGCAGCAGGCCCCGAGCCCCUUCAGGCCCAGCACUGCCCCAGACUCGCUGGCACUCAGUUCCCUCAUCUGUAAAGGUGAAGGGUGAUGCAGGAUAUGCCUGACAGGAACAGUCUGUGGAUGGACAUGAUCAGUGCUAAGGAAAGCAGCAGACAGAGACGCUCCGGCGCCCCAGCCCCACUAUCAGUGUCCAGCGUGCUGGUUCCCCAGAGCACAGCUCAGCAUCACACUGACACUCACCCUGCCCUGCCCCUGGCCAGAGGGUACUGCCGACGGCACUUUGCACUCUGAUGACCUCAAAGCACUUUCAUGGCUGCCCUCUGGCAGGGCAGGGCAGUGACUCUGUAGGAGCAUAGCAAGCCAGGAGAUGGGGUGAAGGGACACAGUCUUGAGCUGUCCACAUGCAUGUGACUCCUCAAACCUCUUCCAGAUUUCUCUAAGAAUAGCACCCCCUUCCCCAUUGCCCCAGCUUAGCCUCUUCUCCCAGGGGAGCUACUCAGGACUCACGUAGCAUUAAAUCAGCUGUGAAUCGUCAGGGGGUGUCUGCUAGCCUCAACCUCCUGGGGCAGGGGACGCCGAGACUCCUUGGGAGAAGCUCAUUCCCACAUCUUGCCAAGACAGCCUUUGUCCAGCUGUCCACAUUGAGCCAGACUGCUCCCGGGGAGAGAGCCCCGGCCCCCAGCACAUAAAGAACUGCAGCCUUGGUACUGCAGAGUCUGGGUUGUAGAGAACUCUUUGUAAGCA